AUCGCUUCUCGGCCUUUUGGCUAAGAUCAAGCGAAGUUUCUGUUCUUGUCAGUUUAAUAUAAGACAUCACAGCACGUGUGUUUCCCUU
rnacentral:snRNA from 1 species